rnacentral:rRNA from 1 species
GACCCCAGGUCAGGCGGGGCUACCCGCUGAAUUUAAGCAUAUCAAUAAGCGGAGGAAAAG